GUAAUAGCACAGUGUAAAUAGUCAAGUGAAUGGAUGAGAUUAAU
rnacentral:guide_RNA from 1 species